GAUGAAGAACGCAGCGAAAUGCGAUAAGUAAUGUGAAUUGCAGAAUUCAGUGAAUCAUCGAAUCUUUGAACGCACAUUGCGCCCCCUGGUAUUCCGGGGGGCAUGCCUGUUCGAGCGUCAUUUCACCACUCAAGCCUCGCUUGGUAUUGGGCAACGCGGUCCGCCGCGUGCCUCAAAUCGACCGGCUGGGUCUUCUGUCCCCUAAGCGUUGUGGAAACUAUUCGCUAAAGGGUGUUCGGGAGGCUACGCCGUAAAACAACCCCAUUUCUAAGGUUGACCUCGGAUCAGGUAGGGAUACCCGCUGAACUUAAGCAUAUCAAUAGCGGAGGA
rnacentral:misc_RNA from 1 species